rnacentral:precursor_RNA from 1 species
CCCUUUUCGUGUUUUAUUAACAAAUAAUAAAAUACGAAGAGGUCAGUAAG